GCCUCAAUAGCUCAGUGGUAGAGCGCUUGAUAUGUGUAGCCCGACCGAUGUCAUAUACAUAUCAAAAUGCCAGGGUUCAAAUCCCUGUUGAGGCU